UAGGGAAUCUUCGGCAAUGGGGGCAACCCUGACCGAGCAACGCCGCGUGAGUGAAGAAGGUUUUCGGAUCGUAAAGCCCUGUUGUUAGGGAAGAAUGAUUGUAUAGUAACUAUAUACAGUAGAGACGGUACCUAACCAGAAAGCCACGGCUAACUACGUGCCAGCAGCCGCGGUAAUACGUAGGUGGCAAGCGUUGUCCGGAAUUAUUGGGCGUAAAGCGCGCGCAGGUGGUUUAAUAAGUCUGAUGUGAAAGCCCACGGCUCAACCGUGGAGGGUCAUUGGAAACUGUUAAACUUGAGUGCAGGAGAGAAAAGUGGAAUUCCUAGUGUAGCGGUGAAAUGCGUAGAGAUUAGGAGGAACACCAGUGGCGAAGGCGGCUUUUUGGCCUGUAACUGACACUGAGGCGCGAAAGCGUGGGGAGCAAACAGGAUUAGAUACCCUGGUAGUCCACGCCGUAAACGAUGAGUGCUAAGUGUUGGUCUCAUAAGAGAUCAGUGCUGCAGCUAACGCAUUAAGCACUCCGCCUGGGGAGUACGACCGCAAGGUUG
rnacentral:rRNA from 1 species